AGAGUUUGAUCAUGGCUCAGGAUGAACGCUAGCUACAGGCUUAACACAUGCAAGUCGAGGGGCAGCAUGGACCCAGCUUUGCUGGGUUUGAUGGCGACCGGCGCACGGGUGAGUAACGCGUAUCCAACCUGCCCUUUACUCCGGGAUAGUCUCCUGAAAGGGAGUUUAAUACCGGAUGUGUUUGUCUUUCCGCAUGGGAGCGACAAAUAAAGAUUAAUUGGUAAAGGAUGGGGAUGCGUCCCAUUAGCUUGUUGGCGGGGUAACGGCCCACCAAGGCGACGAUGGGGUAGGGGUUCUGGAGAGGAAGGUCCCCCACAUUGGAACUGAGACACGGUCCAAACUCCUACGGGAGCA
rnacentral:rRNA from 1 species